AGCAAAAUCAUGAUUUAUACAUUUUCCAGUCUUCUUUGUCUAGAAUUUUGAAGACUGGGGCUCUGCAGAGACUGGCUGGUGAAAAGCGCAGAAGCUGACACCAUGUUUGGAUACCCUCCAGUGUUCAGUUGCAUGUCCAGCCCAUCAUAUUCUCCAGUGCAGGAUCAUCAGUCUUUCUCCGAGGAGCUGGAGGCCUUGGGAGUGGGAGCCACUCGCGGCUUAAUCCUUCGCGCGCCGAAACACCAUGCUCUUGCUGGAGCUGCUGGGAAUAUUCACUGUAAAGGACACAGAAACGAUCUCCUUCCUACACUCGAGAAGAAAUUAUUCCACAUCCCAUA